CUUCAGGUGGGGCCUCGCUGGAAGAAAUGGAAGGAAGGGGACCUUGAAGGUGCAGCAAACAUGGGUACAGGAAAGGAAAAUAAGAGUCCACCACGGCCGGUGAGUAUAUCCAUCAGGAUCCAAUCUUCGUGUAAACCAAGAGAUAAGCAGUUUCCCGCCUAGAAAGCAAAGAACACAUCAGCACAGAAAAAUGAAGCAUCCGCAGCGAAUCCAGGACACAACAUGCAUCAGUAAACUUCCCAGCUCUUAGGUCAAGCAUCCAUCUAACCCAUGACCCGAAUACGCUCAGCCACACAGCCGAUUUCAAUCGGUUGUCCAUGUAUUGUCCACAGCCUCUUCAGCGCCACAAGGGCGGCGCCACGCAGCUGCACCAGGAGCUGUGCUCCACAGCUGAGAACUUCCUCCCUCGCUCUCUACAGACAGCCUACCAGUCCCUGGCCUAAAUCAGAGGGCAUCGGGAACAAUCGGAAACAAAGAUCUGGCAUCCUGUAGAGCUUCUUAAAAGAAACGAA